CUACGACAUAAAAAAGUUAUAUAAAAACAAUGUAAAACUUUUAGGUGAAGAACUUGAAAAAAAGUUUACACAUUAACAGUGACAUGAAAUCUGAAUUAACAAAAUUGAGGCAAAAAUAACUGAUUUUGUAACCUGGAUUAAGACAAAAUUUAGCAAUUCAGAUUUCAAUUCACUGCACAUUGGAAUAUAGUGUUUUUUCCUAAUAAAUCAAUCUCCAAACUGC